UCUCUGCUGAGCUGGGUUUAUUCAUUGCUAUUUUAAAAGGUGUCCAGUGUGAGGUGCAGCUGGUGGAGUCUGGGGGAGGCCUGGGUCAGCCUGUGGGGUCGCUGAGACUCUCCUGUGCAGCCUCCGGAUUAACUUUCAGUAACCACUGGAUGGUCUGGGUCUGCCAGGCUCCCGGGAAGGGGCUGCAGUGGGUCUCAACCAUUAGUAAUGAUGGUAGUAGCAAAUACUACACAGACUCCGUGAAGGGUCGAUUCACCAUCUCCAGAGACAACACCAAGAGCACGGUGUAUCUGCAAAUGAGCAGUCUGAAAGCCGAGGACACGGCCGUGUAUUACUGCACUGACACA